AUCUGGAGGCACAAAAAGAUUCAACUUGAUUAGAUUUUAGGCAAAGUCUUUAUGAAACACAGCAGAACCAGUAAAAUAAAUCAAACUAAGUUUGAUUUUUCCACAUAGCUUUUAUUGAAGAUGAUCUGUUAGCGCUGCCUCUCAAAGCCGCUCAGGCUUUUUUCGCGCCUUAGCAGAAAAUUGGCAAAGUUUGUAAUGGAAACACAGAUAGUUUGUGUAACACUGAUAAUUCAUUCUGAGCCCAAAAUGAAAACCACAAAAGGUUAAGCAGACUUUUAACAGGAAGUAGCUGUUUACUCAGCAGAGACGGUUUUACUGGGGAUUGUUUCGCCUGCAGGACCGGACAGACAGAAACCAGGAGUGGAGAAGCUGCGGAGCAGGAACACCUCCAGCCAGUUAAAGCUCCGAUGAAACGACGGAGGGAUGAAACAGAUUUCCUGUUGCACAGAAAGACGACAGAACAGAGAGGAUUUAUGGAAAACUGAGCAACCAGCCGAAACCCUGACAUCCAGGUCGUAGAAAUGUUGAAAGCGGAGGAAGAGUCUAACAACAGCCUGGAUCUGCCGACUUGUUCAUCAGUAAUCAUGGAGGGCGUCAGGAAAUAUGAUGAAGAUCAACGACGGCGUCUUCAGAAUCACCUGCAGCCUGACAGGUUCAACUCUCUGCUCCUCUAACCUCCAGGAUCUGAUCACUAACAGCUUCAGAAAAUCUGAAAAUCAUCUCUCAAUGAGUCAAUAAUAAAUUAUACACAUCAUUAUGCAUAAUUCAGAUAUUAAUGCCAGUGUAACAAGGAACAUGGUGCAGACUGCAGCAGAUGUUACUGCUUCAUACUUUCCUCCUCUGCUCUCCGUUUCAAUCAUCGCAGGACUUUGUGCAACACGAAGUCACUGAGGUGCAAAAGAUUGGCAGAGAAAUCUGACCACCAAAUUCACAGAGCAGAGAAACUGAGGGUUUCUGUUCCGGUCCAUUAACUGGACUCUGCUGCUGCUGAUCCAUGCUGCUGCUGCUGCUGCUGCUGUGGUUCUGCUGCUCCGAACAAAGGCACUCAGUGAAGGAUGAGAGUAUGGCUCCGCUUCCUGCCGCUCACAGCAUCCAGCCGGUCCGAAAACACACCGACCGACCUCGCGUCAGAAACAUGGUGC